rnacentral:tRNA from 1 species
GCGCCUGUAGCUUAAUGGAUAGAGUUGAGCCUUGCGGAGGCUUAGGUCCCAGUUCGACUCUGGGCAGGCGCA